ACUACGGGAGGCAGCAGUGGGGGAUAUUGCACAAUGGGGGGAACCCUGAUGCAGCGACGCCGCGUGGGUGAAGAAGCGCCUCGGCGCGUAAAGCCCUGUCAGCAGGGAAGAAAAUGACGGUACCUGAAGAAGAAGCCCCGGCGAACUACGUGCCAGCAGCCGCGGGAAUACAUAGGGGGCAAGCGUGAUCCGGAUUUACUGGGUGUAAAGGGGGCGCAGACGGCGAUGCAAGCCAGGAGUGAAAGCCCGGGGCCCAACCCCGGGACUGCUCUUGGAACUGCGUGGCUGGAGUGCAGGAGGGGCAGGCGGAAGUCCUGGUGUAGCGGUGAAAUGCGUAGAUAUCAGGAGGAACACCGGUGGCGAAGGCGGCCUGCUGGACUGCAACUGACGUUGAGGCCCGAAAGCGUGGGGAGCAAACAGGAUUAGAUACCCGAGUAGUC
rnacentral:rRNA from 1 species